GAAUAGUGGUCUUACCCCUCCCGUAACCAUUGUCCAGCCGUCAUCUUCUGCAGGGCAGAUAUUGGCCCAGAUUUCUCGUCACUCCAACCUUACCCAGGGAUCAGCACCAACUUGGACCUCUAGCACUCGCCCAGGUUUCUCUGCCCAGCUGCCUACUCAGGCUACAGCCAAGACUCGUUCUUCACAAUUUGGUGUGAACAACUUUCAGACUUCGUCCUCCUUCAGUGCCAUGUCUCUUCCGGGUGCUCCCACUGCCUCACCCAGUACUGCUGCCUACCCUACUCUUCCUAACCGUGGAUCCAACUUUCCUCCUGAGACUGGACAGACAACAGGACAGUUCCAGACCCGGACAGCAGAGGGUGUGGGUGUCUGGCCACAGUGGCAAGGCCAGCAGCCCCAUCACCGGUCUAGUUCCAAUGAGCAACAUGUUCAGCCAACAUCAGCACAACCAAGUAGCCAGCCUGAGGUCUUUCAAGAAAUGCUGUCCAUGCUGGGAGACCAGAGCAACACCUACAACAAUGAAGAGUUUCCUGAUCUAACUAUGUUUCCCCCUUUUUCUGAAUAGAGCUAUUGGGGUGAGGAUAGGGUGGGGAAAUCACUGUUUUUAAAAGCAAAUCUUCUGUAAACAGAAUAAAAGUUCCUCUCCCUUCCCUUCCCUCACCCCUGACAUGUACCCUUUUCACCCCUUGACUCUCUGAGUAACAUUAUAGAAGAAAUUAAAUGAAUUUCACAGGCUUUUAGGAUCCUCUGAAAUUUUGAGGAUAGGUGAGGUUAGAAUUCUUGUCCUUAUAUCUUCUGACCAGAAGUUGCACAGAAAUGAUUUGUGCUGGAGUCAAGGGGCAGAAUAGAGGAAUCCGGCAGCCAUGAAUUGGAUACUGUGGCUUGUUUGGAUAGAAAUUCUGAAUAGAGUGGAGGAAGGGAGAAAUAUCCUCAUAACUGAGGAUCAUGAAAAUAUGGUAGGGUAUAUGCUGGAGCCUUAGAAGUGAGCAGUCUCCAGAAAGAGACCAGAAAGAGCAUGAACACUUGUGUUUGUGUGUGAGUGCAUAUGUGCGUGUGCGUGUGUGUGUGUGUGUCUGUCUGUCUGUCUGUCUGUCUGUGUGUGUGUGUGUGUGUGUGUGUGUGAGAGAGAGAGAGAGAGAGAGAGAGAGAGAGAGAGAGAGAGAGAGAGCGCUUUUGAGUUCCUGUUUUGUUUUCUCCCUGUUAGAGAGUAUAUGCAAAAUUUGUCCCAGAUUUUCUUUAUCUUUGUUUGCUCUUCAAAGUGUCCUGUGAAAAAUAAUUUUUCCAGGUAUUUUUCUAUUUAGUGUUGCAGCCAAAGAGUAUUUAAAUUAAGUCUUUGCUGCACUUAAAUCCAUACCCAGCCAAAAUGGAACUGUAAGCCAACUCCGA
rnacentral:lncRNA from 1 species